rnacentral:rRNA from 1 species
UACGUAGGAGGCAAGCGUUGUCCGGAAUUACUGGGCGUAAAGCGCGCGUAGGCGGCUUUGUAAGUUAGAGGUGAAAGCCCGGAGCUCAACUCCGGAAUUGCCUUUAAGACUGCAUCGCUAGAAUCACGGAGAGGUUAGUGGAAUUCCGAGUGUAGAGGUGAAAUUCGUAGAUAUUCGGAAGAACACCAGUGGCGAAGGCGACUAACUGGACAUGUAUUGACGCUGAGGUGCGAAAGCGUGGGGAGCAAACAGG